GCCACAUCCAAGGGCCAACGCAGCUGCUUCAUGGCGUAGGCGAUCACGGUUGAUGCAGAGCGGGAAAUGCCCAUUUUACAGUGCACCAGCACUGCCUGUCCACUUUUCCUGGAAUAGAUAAAGAGAGACAAACUGUGUCGUCAGAAAACCAAUCCAAGGAUCCUUCAAAUCCAUGUGUCUCAGGAGCCACAGGUUGAAUACCCCUGGGCUAGCUCCUCAAAGUUGGCAGCAUUCCAUUCAGAGCCCUGACAAUCAAACCAGAGAAGAGACGGUCACUGAGGGAACCAACCAGAGGAGGAAGGAAGGAUGGCUUUUAAAACCGUCCUCACAACCAGUGGCAUCACAUUUCUUAAAAGGGGAAGUAACACUCACAUAAACCUCUUUAUAAGAUCAUUUCCUCUAAUAUAACCACCAAAAAUAAACAUUGUCUUCUCACCAUGGUGA